rnacentral:lncRNA from 1 species
UUUCAUCAGUCCUUGUAUCAUAUAUACUAUUUUUUAUUUCACCCAAAAAUAUUAUAUUUGAUAUUAGGGCUUGGGUUUUUUGGAUCAAAUUUUUAUCAUAGGUUUUCACCUAUUUAGAGGCUCAAGUAUUUAAAAACAUUGCAUGGAUCCAUUACAUUUUGAUAGAAAUAAAAAAAUGAAAAAAAAAGCAAAAAAAAAGAUUGUUCGAAUGCUGAAUAACCUAGAAAAAAAAUAAAAAAACUUCAUAAUAGAAAAAAAAAAUCAUAAAUGUCUCUCUGGAUGUCAUUCAAAAGUUUCAAAAAAAAU